rnacentral:lncRNA from 1 species
CGCGGGCACUCACCCAGGCCGGCCGCUCACAACCGAGCGCAGGGCCGCGGAGGGAGACCAGGAAAGCCGAAGGCGGAGCAGCUGGAGGCGACCAGCGCCGGGCGAGGUCAAGUGGAUCCGAGCCGCAGAGAGGGCUGGAGAGAGUCUGCUCUCCGAUGACUUUGCCCACUCUCUUCGCAGUGGGGACACCGGACCGAGUGCACACUGGAGGUCCCAGAGCACGACGAGCGCGGAGGACCGGGAGGCUCCCGGGCUUGCGUGGGCAUCACGUGCCCUCCCCCCAUGUCCGUGGAACACGCAGACAUCUGGGUCAAGAGCUACAGCUUGUACUCCAGGGAGCGGUACAUUUGUAACUCUGGUUUCAAGCGUAAAGCCGGCACGUCCAGCCUGACGGAGUGCGUGUUGAACAAGGCCACGAAUGUCGCCCACUGGACAACCCCCAGUCUCAAAUGCAUUAAGCCCGCAGCUUCAUCUCCCAGCUCAAACAACACAGCGGCCACAACAGCAGCUAUUGUCCCGGGCUCCCAGCUGAUGCCUUCAAAAUCACCUUCCACAGGAACCACAGAGAUAAGCAGUCAUGAGUCCUCCCACGGCACCCCCUCUCAGACAACAGCCAAGAACUGGGAACUCACAGCAUCCGCCUCCCACCAGCCGCCAGGUGUGUAUCCACAGGGCCACAGCGACACCACUGUGGCUAUCUCCACGUCCACUGUCCUGCUGUGUGGGCUGAGCGCUGUGUCUCUCCUGGCAUGCUACCUCAAGUCAAGGCAAACUCCCCCGCUGGCCAGCGUUGAAAUGGAAGCCAUGGAGGCUCUGCCGGUGACUUGGGGGACCAGCAGCAGAGAUGAAGACUUGGAAAACUGCUCUCACCACCUAUGAAACUCGGGGAAACCAGCCCAGCUAAGUCCGGAGUGAAGGAGCCUCUCUGCUUUAGCUAAAGACGACUGAGAAGAGGUGCAAGGAAGCGGGCUCCAGGAGCAAGCUCACCAGGCCUCUCAGAAGUCCCAGCAGGAUCUCACGGACUGCCGGGUCGGCGCCUCCUGCGCGAGGGAGCAGGUUCUCCGCAUUCCCAUGGGCACCACCUGCCUGCCUGUCGUGCCUUGGACCCAGGGCCCAGCUUCCCAGGAGAGACCAAAGGCUUCUGAGCAGGAUUUUUAUUUCAUUACAGUGUGAGCUGCCUGGAAUACAUGUGGUAAUGAAAUAAAAACCCUGCCCCGAAUCUUCCGUCCCUCAUCCUAACUUUCAGUUCACAGAGAAAAGUGACAUACCCAAAGCUCUCUGUCAAUUACAAGGCUUCUCCUGGCGUGGGAGACGUCUACAGGGAAGACACCAGCGUUUGGGCUUCUAACCACCCUGUCUCCAGCUGCUCUGCACACAUGGACAGGGACCUGGGAAAGGUGGGAGAGAUGCUGAGCCCAGCGAAUCCUCUCCAUUGAAGGAUUCAGGAAGAAGAAAACUCAACUCAGUGCCAUUUUACGAAUAUAUGCGUUUAUAUUUAUACUUCCUUGUCUAUUAUAUCUAUACAUUAUAUAUUAUUUGUAUUUUGACAUUGUACCUUGUAUAAACAAAAUAAAACAUCUA